ACGCUCGACACCUACGGGAGGUAGCAGUGGGGAAUAUUGCACAAUGGGGGAAACCCUGAUGCAGCAACGCCGCGUGAGUGAAGAAGUAUUUCGGUAUGUAAAGCUCUAUCAGCAGGGAAGAUAAUGACGGUACCUGACUAAGAAGCUCCGGCUAAAUACGUGCCAGCAGCCACGGUAAUCUGAGCGGGCUGGCAAGGC
rnacentral:rRNA from 1 species